rnacentral:rRNA from 1 species
GACGAACGCUGGCGGCGUGCUUAACACAUGCAAGUCGAACGGAAAGGCCCUGCUUUUGUGGGGUGCUCGAGUGGCGAACGGGUGAGUAACACGUGAGUAACCUGCCCUUGACUUUGGGAUAACUUCAGGAAACUAGGGCUAAUACCGGAUAGGAGCUCCUGCUGCAUGGUGGGGGUUGGAAAGUUUCGGCGGUUGGGGAUGGACUCGCGGCUUAUCAGCUUGUUGGUGGGGUAGUGGCUUACCAAGGCUUUGACGGGUAGCCGGCCUGAGAGGGUGACCGGCCACAGUGGGACUGCGAGACGGCCCAGACUCCUACGGGAGGCAGCAGUGGGGAAUAUUGCACAAUGGGCGGAAGCCUGAUGCAGCGACGCCGCGUGCGGGAUGACGGCCUUCGGGUUGUAAACCGCUUUCGCCUGUGACGAAGCGUGAGUGACGGUAAUGGGUAAAGAAGCACCGGCUAACUACGUG